rnacentral:rRNA from 1 species
GUCGAACGCCCCGCAAGGGGAGUGGCAGACGGGUGAGUAACGCGUGGGAAUCUACCCUUUACUACGGAAUAACGCAUGGAAACGUGUGCUAAUACCGUAUGUGUCCUUCGGGAGAAAGAUUUAUCGGUAAAGGAUGAGCCCGAGUUGGAUUAGCUAGUUGGUGGGGUAAAGGCCUACCAAGGCGACGAUCCAUAGCUGGUCUGAGAGGAUGAUCAGCCACAUUGGGACUGAGACACGGCCCAAACUCCUACGGGAGGCAGCAGUGGGGAAUAUUGGACAAUGGGCUCAAGCCUGAUCCAGCCAUGCCGCGUGAGUGAUGAAGGCCCUAGGGUUGUAAAGCUCUUUCACCGGAGAAGAUAAUGACGGUAUCCGGAGAAGAAGCCCCGGCUAACUUCGUGCCAGCAGCCGCG